rnacentral:rRNA from 2 species
AGUCAUACGCUCGUCUCAAAGAUUAAGCCAUGCAUGUGUAAGUAUAAAUAGUUAACUUUGAAACUGCGAAUGGCUCAUUAUAUCAGUUAUAGUUUAUUUGAUGAAGAAUACUAAUUGGAUAACCGUAGUAAUUCUAGAGCUAAUACAUGUAUAAAGUCUUGUAGACUGCAUUUAUUAGAAUGAAAACCAUAGGUUUCGGCCUAUUCGUGAGUAAUAAUAACUAAUCAUAUCGUAUGCUUAAGUAACGAUGUGUCUUUCAAGUUUCUGCCCUAUCAGCUUUCGAUGGUAGUGUAUUGGACUACCAUGGCAGUAACGGGUAACGAAGAAUUUGGGUUCGAUUUCGGAGAGGGAGCCUGAGAGAUGGCUACCACAUCCAAGGAAGGCAGCAGGCGCGUAAAUUACCCAGUCCUGACACAGGGAGGUAGUGACAAUAAAUCACAAUGCGGAACAAUGUUUUGCAAUUGGAUUGAGAACAACGUACAAACCUUAUCGAUAAACAAUUGGAGGGCAAGUCUGGUGCCAGCAGCCGCGGUAAUUCCAGCUCCAAUAGCGUAUAUUAA